AUUGAACGCUGGCGGCAGGCCUAACACAUGCAAGUCGAGCGGAUGAAGGGAGCUUGCUCCUGGAUUCAGCGGCGGACGGGUGAGUAAUGCCUAGGAAUCUGCCUGGUCGUGGGGGAUAACGUCCGGAAACGGGCGCUAAUCCCGCAUACGUCCUUAGGGAGAAAGUGGGGGAUCUUCGGACCUCACGCUAUCAGAUGAGCCUAGGUCGGAUUAGCUAGUUGGUUGGGUAAAGGCCUACCAAGGCGACGAUCCGUAACUGGUCUGAGAGGAUGACCAGUCACACUGGAACUGAGACACGGUCCAGACUCCUACGGGAGGCAGCAGUGGGGAAUAUUGGGCAAUGGGCGAAAGCCUGAUCCAGCAAUGCCGCGUGAGUGAAGAAGGUCUUCGGAUUGUAAAGCACUGUAAGUUGGGAGGAAGGAAAGUAAGUUAAUAUCUGGAUGUUUUGACGGUACCAACAGAAUAAGCACCGGCUAACUUCGUG
rnacentral:rRNA from 1 species